GGGUUGUGAGGUUAAGCGACUAAGCGUACACGGUGGAUGCCCUGGCAGUCAGAGGCGAUGAAGGACGUGCUAAUCUGCGAUAAGCGUCGGUAAGGUGAUAUGAACCGUUAUAACCGGCGAUUUCCGAAUGGGGAAACCCAGUGUGUUUCGACACACUAUCAUUAACUGAAUCCAUAGGUUAAUGAGGCGAACCGGGGGAACUGAAACAUCUAAGUACCCCGAGGAAAAGAAAUCAACCGAGAUUCCCCCAGUAGCGGCGAGCGAACGGGGAGCAGCCCAGAGCCUGAAUCAGUGUGUGUGUUAGUGGAAGCGUCUGGAAAGGCGCGCGAUACAGGGUGACAGCCCCGUACACAAAAAUGCACAUGCUGUGAGCUCGAUGAGUAGGGCGGGACACGUGGUAUCCUGUCUGAAUAUGGGGGGACCAUCCUCCAAGGCUAAAUACUCCUGACUGACCGAUAGUGAACCAGUACCGUGAGGGAAAGGCGAAAAGAACCCCGGCGAGGGGAGUGAAAAAGAACCUGAAACCGUGUACGUACAAGCAGUGGGAGCACGCUUAGGCGUGUGACUGCGUACCUUUUGUAUAAUGGGUCAGCGACUUAUAUUCUGUAGCAAGGUUAACCGAAUAGGGGAGCCGAAGGGAAACCGAGUCUUAACUGGGCGUUAAGUUGCAGGGUAUAGACCCGAAACCCGGUGAUCUAGCCAUGGGCAGGUUGAAGGUUGGGUAACACUAACUGGAGGACCGAACCGACUAAUGUUGAAAAAUUAGCGGAUGACUUGUGGCUGGGGGUGAAAGGCCAAUCAAACCGGGAGAUAGCUGGUUCUCCCCGAAAGCUAUUUAGGUAGCGCCUCGUGAAUUCAUCUCCGGGGGUAGAGCACUGUUUCGGCAAGGGGGUCAUCCCGACUUACCAACCCGAUGCAAACUGCGAAUACCGGAGAAUGUUAUCACGGGAGACACACGGCGGGUGCUAACGUCCGUCGUGAAGAGGGAAACAACCCAGACCGCCAGCUAAGGUCCCAAAGUCAUGGUUAAGUGGGAAACGAUGUGGGAAGGCCCAGACAGCCAGGAUGUUGGCUUAGAAGCAGCCAUCAUUUAAAGAAAGCGUAAUAGCUCACUGGUCGAGUCGGCCUGCGCGGAAGAUGUAACGGGGCUAAACCAUGCACCGAAGCUGCGGCAGCGACACUAUGUGUUGUUGGGUAGGGGAGCGUUCUGUAAGCCUGUGAAGGUGUGCUGUGAGGCAUGCUGGAGGUAUCAGAAGUGCGAAUGCUGACAUAAGUAACGAUAAAGCGGGUGAAAAGCCCGCUCGCCGGAAGACCAAGGGUUCCUGUCCAACGUUAAUCGGGGCAGGGUGAGUCGACCCCUAAGGCGAGGCCGAAAGGCGUAGUCGAUGGGAAACAGGUUAAUAUUCCUGUACUUGGUGUUACUGCGAAGGGGGACGGAGAAGGCUAUGUUGGCCGGGCGACGGUUGUCCCGGUUUAAGCGUGUAGGCUGGUUUUCCAGGCAAAUCCGGAAAAUCAAGGCUGAGGCGUGAUGACGAGGCACUACGGUGCUGAAGCAACAAAUGCCCUGCUUCCAGGAAAAGCCUCUAAGCAUCAGGUAACAUCAAAUCGUACCCCAAACCGACACAGGUGGUCAGGUAGAGAAUACCAAGGCGCUUGAGAGAACUCGGGUGAAGGAACUAGGCAAAAUGGUGCCGUAACUUCGGGAGAAGGCACGCUGAUAUGUAGGUGAAGCGACUUGCUCGUGGAGCUGAAAUCAGUCGAAGAUACCAGCUGGCUGCAACUGUUUAUUAAAAACACAGCACUGUGCAAACACGAAAGUGGACGUAUACGGUGUGACGCCUGCCCGGUGCCGGAAGGUUAAUUGAUGGGGUCAGCGCAAGCGAAGCUCUUGAUCGAAGCCCCGGUAAACGGCGGCCGUAACUAUAACGGUCCUAAGGUAGCGAAAUUCCUUGUCGGGUAAGUUCCGACCUGCACGAAUGGCGUAAUGAUGGCCAGGCUGUCUCCACCCGAGACUCAGUGAAAUUGAACUCGCUGUGAAGAUGCAGUGUACCCGCGGCAAGACGGAAAGACCCCGUGAACCUUUACUAUAGCUUGACACUGAACAUUGAGCCUUGAUGUGUAGGAUAGGUGGGAGGCUUUGAAGUGUGGACGCCAGUCUGCAUGGAGCCGACCUUGAAAUACCACCCUUUAAUGUUUGAUGUUCUAACGUUGACCCGUAAUCCGGGUUGCGGACAGUGUCUGGUGGGUAGUUUGACUGGGGCGGUCUCCUCCUAAAGAGUAACGGAGGAGCACGAAGGUUGGCUAAUCCUGGUCGGACAUCAGGAGGUUAGUGCAAUGGCAUAAGCCAGCUUGACUGCGAGCGUGACGGCGCGAGCAGGUGCGAAAGCAGGUCAUAGUGAUCCGGUGGUUCUGAAUGGAAGGGCCAUCGCUCAACGGAUAAAAGGUACUCCGGGGAUAACAGGCUGAUACCGCCCAAGAGUUCAUAUCGACGGCGGUGUUUGGCACCUCGAUGUCGGCUCAUCACAUCCUGGGGCUGAAGUAGGUCCCAAGGGUAUGGCUGUUCGCCAUUUAAAGUGGUACGCGAGCUGGGUUUAGAACGUCGUGAGACAGUUCGGUCCCUAUCUGCCGUGGGCGCUGGAGAACUGAGGGGGGCUGCUCCUAGUACGAGAGGACCGGAGUGGACGCAUCACUGGUGUUCGGGUUGUCAUGCCAAUGGCACUGCCCGGUAGCUAAAUGCGGAAGAGAUAAGUGCUGAAAGCAUCUAAGCACGAAACUUGCCCCGAGAUGAGUUCUCCCUGACUCCUUGAGAGUCCUGAAGGAACGUUGAAGACGACGACGUUGAUAGGCCGGGUGUGUAAGCGCAGCGAUGCGUUGAGCUAACCGGUACUAAUGAACCGUGAGGCUUAACCUUACAACGCCGAAG
rnacentral:rRNA from 1 species